ensembl:lncRNA
UCAAAAACAAACCCUUAAACUAGACAACGGAGACCUGUCAGUAACAAGGUCGCCCCGCCAACGCAUAGCUUUAGCAUUGCAUUAGCAAUUAGCAUAGCAUUAGCUCUAAAUGGAUCGUAACUUGUUAAGUGAACAUCAUGUUGUUUUCAAGAACAUUUUAAACUCUAGAUUGAGACCACAAAACAAGUUUAUGAUGUUGUCCUUAGUAGUAAAUAGUAGUCAUUUAGUGAGGCGGAAUCCCCCUCUGCUGGCCAUUAGAGGAAUGCAAGUUCAAUGCACUUCCUUUUUGUUAAUCUGUGUUUUGUUGCUGAUGUUUUGUUACUCGUGGCUGGUUCUUGGCUAACAGCCCCAACAGCGGCUAAUCGUUAGGCUGACACGGGGUAGGACAUGUACAUAUUAUUUAGGGGAUCAUUUUCAGGGGCAUUUCAUCAGACAUUGGGGGCAUUUUUUGUAACUUAACAGAUUGAGAAGUGUUUUCUUAACUUUUUUGAACGGAAACAGAAAACAUAAAUCAGACUCAUUCAAAUGUAUUUUUAUUUCUUUUUAGUUUCUCGUGUUUAGCAAUAUGUUGAGCAAUGUCAAACAGCUCGACCAAUAUGCUGAACGCGGUCUUUGCAUCCGAUUCACAGCCUCCACAGGCUCCCUGUUGGACAAAACAUUUAAACCUUGAAACCUCCAGUUAACUGCAGUCUCAACUAAUGGUAGUUUACCCAAACAGAGGAUUACCUGUUAAACACAGGAUGGUGGCAAUUUAUGAGGAGGAGAAACAUCUCUGCACGACGUUAGCUAACGUUAGCUAGCUAGCAAGCCUUCGUAGUUAGUUAAAAAACUAGUCAGAGCUAGCUAACUAAAUUAUUUUAAAGUAAUGAAUACUACACCUCAUCGUAGGCGAUGGUGUGUUGCUCGGUCAUCCGCUGAGGAAAAGACACUUAUUUCUUAAUGUUUUCGCUCCCCUUGAUAAAGUCAGCAGUAGAAUUUGCGCGUUGGCAGUUCGUCGUGGGGAAGUUGCAGAACCUGCCGGUGGUUCUCUUGUCAUCUUCCUCCACCCCAAGCUAUCUUCCCUGUUCCGAUUGUCGAUGGGUGCGUAGAUUUUUUUCUUUUGGACCUGAGAUGGUGACAGAGGCCGGAUUUGCUCUCCCACAAGUCUAAAGUGCUUCAUUUUCUUCAAGAAUGUUUCAUGCAGACGCGACAUCCGUCAAAGGUAAUGAUGAAGGAUGUGAGAAGCAGAAAGCUCUUUUGAAGUCGGCUCUCCGGCGGAACUUCCACACGGUGUUUUGAGCCGUAUUCAUGAAAUCCGCCAGGCUGACUGAGAUGAAGCCGUGGCUCCAGUGGCGAGACGCUCCAGUUUGAGUGCACAGCAGUAAAUACGGACUGUAUAAACUGAUGGAAUGGGCCGUUUGUAGAAGACAAGAAUAUAAUGCAAGCGGCGCAUGCAGUUCUUAUAGCUUCCACCUCAUGUAGCCCCCAAAAGGUUUUCUGCCUUGCACUCCCAACAGUUCCCAUGUUUCCACAUUUGUAAUGAGACAUGUUGAUGUGUCUUUAGGGGAAUAUCGCAAGCGUCUUUUCGGCUGCUUUAACCGAAGCCUUCGUAGCGUGUGAUGCGUUCAAGGACUGUGGGAAGCAUGGAACGCUCACAAUAAUGUUGUUUUUCAGAGCUUUUGGACGUGAUCAACAGAGGUCUCGGCAAUCAUUUAAAGAAAACAUGCAUAUACAUACAUUUGGAUUUUGUAUCUGCUCUAUUCAUUUGCUUCUUUAUUUCUGGGUGUAA